rnacentral:lncRNA from 1 species
UUGUUCGAGUCGGGAACAUCCAUAUCAUGGUGGGGCUAACUCUCCUAGCGGGACUUUUUCCAUCUACACGCUGGAUGCUAAUAGUAAUACUUUGAAGAGUUUAGAAUUGUUUACACCAUUUCAAAGAAUCCUAGUUGUAAAACCUAUUUAUGCUAGGCUUAAUUGCACUUUUGGUCCCCCAACUAUGGCCUUCCUGCGAAAAUCGUCCCUAAACUUCAAAAUUAGCAAAACUCGUCCCUCAACUAUACACACAGUUGCACUUUUGGUCUUCCGUUAGCAUUCCGUCAGAAAACUAACAGAAUAUUCCGUUAAAAAUGAAUUAAAAAAUAAAGAAAAAAUAAAAUUGAGAAAAAAUAGUAUUUUAAUUGAAAAAAUAAAGAAGCUCACUUAAAUCCGUUUCCUCUUCCUCCUCCUCUUCUGUAGAUCAUGGUUCUCGUUCAAAGCUUCAAAGUUUCUGGGUUUUUGGUCGGGUUUCUGGGUUACAAGCUUCGAGCUCCCCCUCUCCAGACACCAUAUGAUAGGUUGAAGCUGUAUCUGUAACAAUGGUUUGAGAUCUGAAAAAAAAAAAGUCUUGGAUUUUCUUCUCUGGUUUUCCUUUCUCAGUUAUGGUAGAUCUAUUGUGAGAGGGAAGAAGGGGUUUGU